UGAAAAAAGAAAACAGAGAUCCAAGAUGGCGGAACGUCAUACCGAAGAGUUCCUAAAUUAAACUGACAUCACCUUGAUACGUUUUGGACGGGAUUUGUUCCAGCAUUUUGCGUUCAUAGUGAGCGAUAACGGCCUGGGCGUCGCUGCAGAAGCUCUCGGCUCUCCUCUGCAUGGCGUUCUCUGAGGACGAGGAGGAUCUGCUGCGGCUCUGGACCCUGCUGGUCAUCGUCUCUGGAGAACAGCUCAGCAGAACCACGGCACUCGGUUCCCCCAUCUGAUCCCACAGAGGAGAAAACGUCUCACUGGAUCCAUGUGGGGUCGGUGUCGGUGCGCUGCCUUGCCUUGGCUUCGUACUCCUCCGCCUGCUUCAGGUCUCUAGGGAAGCCGCUCACCACCAGGCCCUUUCCCUGUCGGACCGCAGACGCCACGGCGUCACACAGCAGGUCCAGCAGCGUCUCCUACAGAUUCAAAACAAAUAAUUCAACAAGUUAUGAAUUAAAGGUGACCUACGUUUUGGGGAGUUUGCACAAAAUUAUUUUUAGAUCAUGAGAUUUUAUUGUCUGGUCAGUUCUUAGGAGUUUGAGCUUCUUUCAGAAUGAGCUACUUUUGGGCCUUUUGUCACUUUAAGUUCCUCCAACUCAACAUUGACAUUUGCAUUUGAGAAUGGCUGGAAACAGAUAAACUAUUGUAC